CGCCAACCCAGACAGGAAGACCACGUCAGUGACUCAACCCACUCAAGUGAUGCACCCCUCCCAGGGAUGGCAUGGAAGAACACCAGUAAGCCAGUGACUCAGCCCUGUCACUGUGCUACAGGUUAGUGUCUGUCUGUGUCACUGUGCUACAGGUUACUGUGUCUAUGUCACUGUGCUACAGGUUAGUGUGACUCUAUGUCACUGUGCUACAGGGUAGUGGGUGUCUAUGUCACUGUGCUACAGGGUAGUGUGUUUAUGUCACUGUGCUACAGGUUAGUGUGUUUGUCACUGUGCUACAGGGUAGUGGGUGUCUAUGUCACUGGGCUACAGGGUAGUGUGUUUAUGUCACUGUGCUACAGGGUAGUGUGUUUGUCACUGUGCUACAGGUUAGUGUGUGUCUAUGUCACUGUGCUACAGGUUAGUGUGUGUCUAUGUCACUGUGCUACAGGUUAGUGUGUCUCUAUGUCAUUGUGCUACAGGUUAGUGUGUUUAUGUCACUGUGCUACAGGUUAGUGUGUGUCUCUGUCACUGUGCUGUCAUGACGUUGGCC
rnacentral:lncRNA from 1 species